UCUCUCUCUCUGUCUCUGUCUCCGCUCACAAACAUCUAUAUUCACUGGUCCAGGUAUCCCUGCAUGGAAUCUCUCAUCCCACUCUUCUGAUACCUGGAAAAAAGAUAAGGCUUUGCUUGUGCGUCCACUUUGAUUUGAUGACCAGAGAGAGGGCUGAUUGACCUCCUGACCUCUUGUGAGGGGCGGUGCUCCUGGGUGUCCAGAGCCCCCCGUCGGAGGGUUAAUGAGCGCCGGCUGCUCGGGCCAUGGCUGGGGGACCAGACCAGAUGACCACUCUCUGCUUUGACUCAAACAUCCGUCUCCCCCUUUAUGAGCCGGUCAGAACUUCAGCAUAUCCUCAGUGUUGGACAUGGAGUCCUGCUGUGAGGGUCAUGGUGAGGUCAGCUGAGGUCGGCUUGCUUCGCCCACCAUCGUGAUGACCACUUCCAUUAAAUCAAAGCAGACCUACAGCUACAGGCAGUCCACUUACAGA